rnacentral:rRNA from 1 species
AGACAGAGGUGGCAAGCGUUGUUCGGAUUUACUGGGCGUAAAGAGUUCGUAGGCGGUUGUAUGUGUCAGGUGUGAAAUCCCAGGGCUUAACCUUGGAAUUGCAUUUGAAACUGUACAACUUGAGGACAGGAGGGGGAAGUGGAAUUCCCGGUGUAGCGGUGAAAUGCGUAGAUAUCGGGAAGAACACCGGUGGCGAAGGCGGCUUCCUGGACUGUCCCUGACGCUGAGGAACGAAAGCGUGGGUAGCAAACAGGAUUAGAAACCCUAGUAGUCC